AUUGAACGCUGGCGGCAGGCCUAACACAUGCAAGUCGAGCGGUAGAGAGAAGCUUGCUUCUCUUGAGAGCGGCGGACGGGUGAGUAAUGCCUAGGAAUCUGCCUGGUAGUGGGGGAUAACGUUCGGAAACGGACGCUAAUACCGCAUACGUCCUACGGGAGAAAGCAGGGGACCUUCGGGCCUUGCGCUAUCAGAUGAGCCUAGGUCGGAUUAGCUAGUUGGUGAGGUAAUGGCUCACCAAGGCGACGAUCCGUAACUGGUCUGAGAGGAUGAUCAGGCACACUGGAACUGAGACACGGUCCAGAUUCCUACGGGAGGCAGCAGUGGGGAAUAUUGGACAAUGGGCGAAAGCCUGAUCCAGCCAUGCCGCGUGUGUGAAGAAGGUCUUCGGAUUGUAAAGCACUCUAAGUUGGGAGGAAGGGUUGUAGAUUAAUACUCUGCAAUUUUGACGUUACCGACAGAAUAAGCACCGGCUAACUCUGUGCCAGCCGCCGCAGUAA
rnacentral:rRNA from 1 species